rnacentral:sRNA from 1 species
UGACUACCCCUCAGGCAAAGUUUCUUGGGACAGUACCUCUGUUGUGCUAGAGUAGAACCCUCCCUUCGGUCUGAGGGACUCAGGAAAGCCUCCCCAGAGGAGAUGGUGCCUAGACUGAGUUUCAAAGGAUGAAUUACAUUCACCCACAAGGAUAUCGAAUCCCUAACAGGAGGGCUGGCUGGUUCUAAGGGGGCUGAUCCACCGUGCUUGCCCAUAGAAUUCAACUUACAUCAGAAAAGUAGUUCUACUACCUUCAAAAUACUUCCCUCAACUGUUCACUGAUUCCUGGAAGAAUUCUACAGUUAGAUAUUAGUUGGUUUCAAAGGAUUUGUCUCUUGUUCAAAGCAAAAUAAAAUAUCUGUCUUCUGCCA